UUACUCUACAUGCCAUAUGCUUGAAUUAUCAGAAAAUGAGGGAAAAGACAGACCAUCAAAAAUACAAGUUCUUGGAGUUAGUCUACAUGCUUAAGCUGAUAUUUUCAAAAAAUAAGGAAAAAACAGAUCAACAGAUGAAUUUCUUGUUCGUUACUCUAUACGCGUAAAUUAUUAAAAAACAAAGGAAAAAACAGAACUUCAAAAUAUUAAUUCAUCCAAAUUUGGAGGCUCUUCUACAAACAUAUACCUAAAUUAUUGGAAAAAAAGAAAAAAAAAUUGUACAUCAAAUAGCUGCACAAGUAAAGAUGCAUUUUAUGCAUACAUGUGUCCAUUCUGAUUUGAUGUGAAUAGAGCCUUGGAAUUGGUGGUUAAUCUGUGUGCUUAAGCUGGAAUUAUCAAAAUGCAAGGGAAAAAGAUCGGACUAAGUUCUCAUCAUUUACUUGACUAAAAUAAUAGCCUGCCCUGUAAGAAUUGUGGCUACAGCACAAAUAAAUAACCCUGGAAGCUAGGUGGAAGACAACACAGUGCUUGGGGCUCGCAAGCAAGGCUCUACACCCUGUAGCUCGUGUGUUUUUUUUUUAGUAUUUUGGAGUUUUGCAGUUCACUUGUGGAAGACAUGAUCCAAGGAUGAAUCUAAAAUGAUAAAGGGGAGAUAAUUUGUUUGCUGAUAAUAAAAAAUAUUUCUGUAUUA